rnacentral:miRNA from 1 species
AUCACUUGGGGAUCUUGUUAAAUGGAAUCUUUGAUUCAGUAGGUCUGGGUUGGGGCCUGAGAUUCUGCAUUUCUAACAAGCUCCCAGGGGAUGC